GUAGGUGGCAAGCGUUAUCCGGAAUUACUGGGUGUAAAGGGAGCGCAGGCGGGAUAGCAAGUCAGCUGUGAAAACUAUGGGCUCAACCCAUAAACUGCAGUUGAAACUGUUAUUCUUGAGUGGAGUAGAGGCAAGCGGAAUUCCGAGUGUAGCGGUGAAAUGCGUAGAUAUUCGGAGGAACACCAGUGGCGAAGGCGGCUUGCUGGGCUCUAACUGACGCUGAGGCUCGAAAGUGUGGGGAGCAAACAGGAUUAGAUACCCUGGUAGUCCACACUGUAAACGAUGAUUGCUAGGUGUGGGGGGUCUGACCCCCUCCGUGCCGGAGUUAACGCAAUAAGCAAUCCACCUGGGGAGU
rnacentral:rRNA from 1 species